CAAUAGCGUAUAUUAAAGUUGUUGCGGUAAAAAAGCUCGUAGUUGGAUUUCUACCGAAGAUAGCCGGUCGGGUCUUCGACCUUGUAUCUGGUUUUGUCUUUGGUAUCCUCAUAGGGAACGUUUCUGCGCUUUAUUGCGUGGUGCGGUAUCUAUGACUUUUACUUUGAGGAAAUUAGAGUGUUCACGGCAGGCAAACGCCUUGAAUAUAUUAGCAUGGAAUAAUAACAUAGGAUCUUCGUCCUAUUUUGUUGGUUUCUAGGGCUAAGAUAAUGAUUAAUAGGGAUAAUUGGGGGCAUCUGUAUCAACGCGUCAGAGGUGAAAUUCUUGGAUUGCGUUGCGACAAACUACUGCGAAAGCAUUUGCCAAGGAUGUUUUCAUUGA
rnacentral:rRNA from 1 species